rnacentral:antisense_RNA from 1 species
GAAAACCUGGAUAAAGAAAAUGUGGCACAUACACAGCAUGGAAUACUAUGCAUCCAUAAAAAAGGAUGAGUUCAUGUCCCUUGCAGGGACAUGGAUGAAGCUGGAAAACAUCAUUCUCAGCAAACUAACCUAUUCACAGAUCAUCAUCAGCCAGAGGUGACUUCUGUUGCUUGCAGCUCAGAAUCCUAGAUGUUUCUGGUGGCACUGAAGAGCCUCUGCCGAAGCUCUAUACCAUUUGCCAUGUACAAAGGGAAAUGAAAUAAUAACGCCGACCAUUUGUGGAGCACAUUCUGUCUGGAGGCAAAUAAUGCCAAGAUGGGAAAGCCACAUAAUGGAAGGAUCCCAGAUUUCAGAGCUGUCACUUGGAGGAGGGGCACACAGUGAAGGUGUCUAUCUAACCCACACCAUAUCUUCAUGAAGUGGCCAUAUGGAUUUGAUCCCUAUCCUUCAGAGGUGCUCAGCCUAAGGGAACAUGGGUAGAAGAUUAAGCACUGACCAGGGGUAUAAAUCCUGCCUUCUCUCAGCCUUACAGAGGAAGAAAACCCUUUCCAAGUUUCCUCUGAUACUGGGUUUAUGCCCAAUUCUAGUUUAGGCAUGAAGAAACUGAAGCAUGGAGGAAAAACUAAACAACUAGCCCAAUGUCACACAGGCAAGCCAGCCUUGACAAUGUGCUGAUGGCAACCUAGAACAUAAGCAGAGGAGUAUACAGGAUGAGAACUUGAUGGUCUCAGGAA